GAAGCUGGAUUGAAUCCAGGACUUGGGUGGUUAUAAGCAGUCUAUAAGUUUGCUUAGUGGAUUUUUCCAGGGGUUGAUCCUGCAGGGACAGAGGCCAGCUGGGUUGUAAUGGGAGGCAGAGAAGAGGCUUCUGGAAGGAAAGCCCCAACAGAGGACAGCUCUGCACUAAGGACUGUGACCCAACAGGGAACUGGGAAAAGUUCUUAGUUUUUUUUUCCCCACAAUGCUUUUACCAAACAAGAAUCCAAAGGGGAAUUUUAGUGAGAGAUCUAUUUCCCUUUCCCCCUGUUGGAGACUAACUGGAUAGAAACUAAGGCAGUAGCACAGUUGGAAAUGAGGCUGGGUAUGCCUAGCUUCAGUGCCAUGUAGGAAAGAGAAUUUGCUUAUUUCCAGGCAUUUGCAGUCCAUCCUUAUUAUUGGCAGGUGGGAUUAUGACAUUAGAGGAGACUUAGCACAACAUAGAGCUCAUUUCAGUUCCAGAAACUAUUAUAUUCUGAUUAAUAGGUUGUGAAAACUAUACAAAAUGGUGCUUGUUGCACCUAAUACCCUUUGCCAUCAUUGUUACUUCCUAGCUGGAAAAAAACUGUUGUUGUGCUUGUUAAAGGCAUAGUUUAAAAUGAAACAGCUCUGCUUGUAGUAAUAGUACUGCUGAUGUCAGUGAAGUGAUGUAGUCCUUUUAUUAGACUAACAUUAGCUAGUCACAGGAAGCAUAAAUUAGAGGCAGUAUAGCUGCACAGCACACAAUCUCUUGGACUUUCAGCUGCUUUGAGCAGAGACUAAUAAUUACUGUGUUCUGUAAGGUACUGAGCACACUCCUGGUGCUCCACAGAGAGAGGAGGGAAAUCCAGCACUCCAGCCUGAGCAUCUCUAGUCUGGGUUUGUAGUAGUUAUUUGUGGUGUGCUCUUCUCCUUAAUUAUUGCUCUCUAGAAUGAUAAAGCACAAGAUGAAAGGAAAUGAAACAACCAGGCUUAUUAAGGUUAAUUCCAGAACUGUUAGCUAAGAACAUACAAGUUAUGUGGCUGACAAACCUAAAUAGACAACACUCAAAGAACAGCAAUGUAAACUAUGGCUUACAUCCUCCCAGUGAGUGUUGCAAAGCAAGCAAUAGGGAAAAGGUAGACACAAGAAGGCAUACACCCCUCAAGCCAGUUUUCCCAGCUAAUCUCUGGAGAAUCUCUGCCCGGAAGUGAAGUCUCUUGGAGCCCUGUCCAUCUAGACCCGUUCAAGGAAAAUGUCUUGCCCGCACUGUUGUAAAGGUUUAGGCUUCUGCUAUUUCAGGUGCAACCUCCCUGUUCCUAGAAGAAGACAGCAGUUUUCAGGACACUUAGCUGCAUAGAUCUGGAGAAAUACAUCUACUGGCAAAGCAAAGAAACACAGCAAAAGGGCAGCCAUGAGGAUCAAACUGGGAUACUGAGUUCCUGGGGCCAGCAUACAUGUCUGAUGGCAGAAAAAAGCAGUGCAGUUGUCCAGACAGGUGGCGCACUGAUAUGGGACAGUGAUGCACCAAUGCAGGCUAAAAACAACACAGAAAGCUAGCUCCUACAGCCCAGAGGCUAAUGUGAACCAGGUGGGAGAGGCAAGGAGGCACAGAUUCAUGUGAAAAACAAGGUAUUAACUUUAAUGGUGGUUGUCAAGGUGGCAAGACUCCUCAUACUGCCUAAGGGCAGAUACAGUAAUGUGUGCCUGUACUCUGAGCUUAUUUCAGAGUGGCCUCUGCAGGAUGUAUGUAAUGUCUGGCCAUUCCUGCAAUAGCCACACCUGGUUUUUCACCUGGUCACUCCUAAUAGGGCCCAGGUGGUGCCAAGGCCUCAUACUGGCUUUUAGUUUAAGGAACAGUUUCUCCUUUGUGUGGCCUUGCAGAAGCAAGCAAAUCUGCAUCUGGGAACAGCCGCUGGAAGGCCUAAUCUGAUUGGGACAUAAUUAGUCCAGUACCCAGUUUUAAAAUGCAUUGUGUUGACUGUGAAGAUGGAGCCCAAAUAAAUCAAAGUUUCCCCUGUUUUGUGUCUGCUGCUUCCAGUUCUGAGGAAAAAUGAGCUAAAGGGGAGCAGCCAUUGGAACUUGCCUGAAUCAACAUCUGGGAAGGAUCAGGAAGAUAACCAUUAGCUUAGCAGAGAAGUGUCAGAGCUCUGUUAGGAGUCAAGGGAUCUGUUUUUAUUUUAUUCUUCAAGAAAAUGAAAUGUCCUAUUACUGCUGGUUUCUCAGUCUGUGGGGGACAGCUGAAGCAGGAACGUCUGCACUUUUCAUGUGGCCUUCAUAAACAAACCAAAAAAGCAGCCCAGCAACCACCAGGGGAAGUGACAGCUGGCCCAUAGGGUAGAACUUAAAGCAAUCGGCACCUUUCUGUAUCUUACCCUAACUGUGCUUUCCGUGCUGCAUGGAAACUUUCAGUUUCUACCAUUAAAAAGGGCUGAAUUGGGGGUAUUAGAAAAGCAAAAUCUAGUGAAAAGAAAUAAUUAAAAUAUUAAGGGUUAGAUUCUCUGGGUUGCUGAGACUAAUGUGCUGAGACUUUAAUGUCAGUGAUAGCAAGUAGUGACUUGCCCUUGUGGAGGAAGCAGUCUCUGUGCAGCAGGAAGAUGGUGGAGGUACGUUUAGUAAUACUGCCUGCAAGUAUAUAAAAAUCAUGAGUCAGGUCCCUAACAAAUUUUCUUAAAUUAUGGAAUUUUAAAAGUAUGGAUUUUAUGUUUUUUGCCUAGGUUUUUGUGCCUUUAAGGAAUGUUAAAGUCACAUUUCCAAGUUCUUUUUCUGUAAGACUAAUGUUUCAAUAUUUACACAGACAGGUUGUUAGCCAUAUUAGUCUGAAGUCAGGCAGAAGGCAGGGUACUUUGCACCUUAUAGACUAACUAAUUUAGAAAUGUAUAUAGCACAGGCUUUCAUGACCUGGAGCCCAUUUCAUUAGAUGCUGUGGAAGGACAUGCACAGACCAAUAAAAUGGAGGCAGUGAUUUGAAUACAAAAGGUGGGAAGGGAGGAGGGUGAGAGAAGGGGGUGGGAGGCAGCAAACAAGAAAAAAAAUCAUAGGAACAAAGCUAGUCCAGGGAAUGAGUAAGAAUCCAUGCUCCCUGUUUAAACCAUACUUAAUGCAACCCAGGCUAUGGAUAAUUUCUUGUUCUACAAUUUUCCUGUUCAAAAUGCUUUUUAAAAUAUUGCUGCCUGAGAACAGCCAUCCUGAGGUCAGCAACAGAGUGCCCAGGGAGAUUAAAGUGUACUGCCACAGGCUGUUGUUUCUUUCUGCAGCUGAUGUCAGAUCAUUCAUUCUUACAUGAAGAGAUCAUGUAAGAUCUGUCCAAUGUAGACAGCAAAGAGGCAUUGUAAGCAGGUGGUGGUGUAUAUGACAGUGGUAGACUUGUAGGUGAAUGAACCUCAGAUAUUUUAUACUCCUUGUUAUUUGGUCCAGUGUGGUCUAUAUUGAUGUGGCACAGCAGGCAUUUGGGUCCGUUGCAAGACCUUCGUGAGGAUAGGAGUUAGUCUGUUCCUUGAGACACAUCUGUCACUUUAGAGAUGCCAUCUGAGGUUGUUACUUACAGCCCUCAGCUUGUAUACUUGGGGUAGGCAACCCCCAGCAUUUUGCUUGGCACGCACACCUCAG